CACGUAGGGCGCAAGCGUUGUCCGGAAUUAUUGGGCGUAAAGAGCUCGUAGGCGGUCUGUUACGUCUGCUGUGAAAACCCGGGGCUUAACCCUGGGCUUGCAGUGGAUACGGGCAGACUAGAGGCAGGUAGGGGAGAAUGGAAUUCCCGGUGUAGCGGUGAAAUGCGCAGAUAUUGGGAAGAACACCGGUGGCGAAGGCGGCUCACUGGCUCAUUUCUGACGCUCAGGCGCGACAGCGUGGGGAUCAAACAGG
rnacentral:rRNA from 1 species